rnacentral:sRNA from 1 species
GCUGGGCAUGGCUGGGCAUGCCUGUAAUCCCCGCUACUUUGUGAGGCUGAGACAGGAGGGUUGCAAGCUCAAGGGCGGCUUCAGCAACUUAGCAAGACCCUGUCUCAA